AAACUUACCUGACGCUAUUUUAAGGUGAUCAAUAAGGCCUUAAAAUAAUGACUGAACAACCAUUGCACACAGGUAUUGUGAUGUCAUUUGUGUGUCGUUAUGGUAACACAAGCGUAUAAUUUAUUACAGGCUAUUUUCUGUUGUUACAGUAUAGCU